rnacentral:rRNA from 1 species
GACGAACGCUGGCGGCGUGCUUAACACAUGCAAGUCGAACGGUGAACCAGGGCUUGCCCUGGGGAUCAGUGGCGAGCGGGUGAGUAACACGUGGGCAACCUGCCCCUGACUCUGGGAUAACUCCUCGAAAGAGGUGCUAAUACCGGAUACGACCACUUCGGGCAUCCGAUGGUGGUGGAAAGAAUUUUGGUCAGGGAUGGGCCCGCGGCCUAUCAGCUUGUUGGUGGGGUAACGGCCCACCAAGGCGACGACGGGUAGCCGGCCUGAGAGGGCGACCGGCCACACUGGGACUGAGACACGGCCCAGACUCCUACGGGAGGCAGCAGUGGGAAAUAUUGCGCAAUGGGCGAAAGCCUGACGCAGCGACGCCGCGUGAGGGACGAC